AAAUUAGUCAGUUGUUGUUGGUUACAUCAGCUGUGUCUGAGGAAUAUAGCAAAGUAAGCAACCUUCACCCCAUGCCUGAGAAGUGGGGAGUUGGAGUUGCCAUGUAUUCACUUUGAAAGCAAGAGAUGGAAGUGAUGGUCACUGGCGAUAACUUGUCUUAUGAAUUGUUAUGGUCAUCAACCAAAGCCUGGUUCAAGAUGGAAGGCCAUUCAAAUGGUGGCUCCAGAGCUCCACUUAUCCUGAUGUGCUGUUUCCAGCAGUGACAAAAGCAGCACAUAGGAAAAUAGGUAAGAACUAGACAAGAAAAUAUGAGUCUCCCAACUCAAACUAUUUGAUGCUCCGGAAAUUCCAGAUCUGAAAGGGGUUUCUAUGUCAUUAGUAAUUCUCAAUGUAUUUCUCUUUCAGUAAGUUACUCUGUCCUCCUUGGUCUCACUUAGACUUGAAGCAUCCCCAGCACGCUGAUAUGGGGACAGGUUAAAUGAAGUUGAGGAGCGAAUAGGCGAUAAUGGAUACAAGGAACAGCUGGAAACAGCAUGAGAAAGCAAGCUAGUUCUCUUUUGGCUCGAUUUCCCCUUUAUACAAUUACAAGGAGGCCUUUUCCCAACAUUCUGGAUAUUUGGAUGUGCUGAAACAAUUUGUGAAGAAUCAGGAAAAUACACAAACACACACACACAAAAAAGUACUAGGUAUUUAGCACAAAUGUGAGCAAACAAACCAACUGUGGGACGAUGGGAUGACCCCACCCAAACCCACAUGUGUUCUAUAGGUCCCGGAAACAAAACUGAGGUCUCAAAUAGCAUCAUUGUACUACAGUGAGCUCUCUUUUUUGAAACAUUUAAUGAUAAAUGUUUAAACAGCUGCCCUCAUAGGAUUCGGGAAAGGAGAGCAGUAAGGCAUUGUCUUCUAUUAAAGCCACAACUGGAGCUUGGCCAGAAUUGAAGAAUUUGUAGGUGACCUGAGUACAUUUUUCAUGCAUUUUGCUGAAUCCCCUGCAUGGCGUAACUCUCUGUGGGAGAUUUAGCCAAACAGUUCGAAGAAAAGAAAGAAAUGUGGACAAACCAGCUUCUGUGAUUUAUUGCCUCAAAGCCAUUCACUAGAAAUUGUCCCAGCUGGUCAUAAACUACAUAUUUCCUACUUCAGUGGAGGGGAAGAAGGGUUCUGGAUGCACAUUUUACCGAGAUAGAGAUCUCUAUUCUUUAAUUUAUCUCAUACACUUAGGACAAAUGAAUGGUGGUGUUGAUCUUAUCCUCUGCUUAAUUUCUUGUUUAUUUUUCUUUGCUCCGCUCUCCAACCCCCCGCCACCUAUUCCCCCAAGGUCAAGCGUGACUUAGAGAAAUAGGUCCAUCCCCUAUUGAACAAGAUGGGAAGUUUUUUGCAUUAGCUAUAUAUUUGGCUGGAGGAUUGAUAAAGCUCAUAUAUCAGUAACCUUGAAGUUCAAGACAGAGAACACCUUAUCAUCUCAGUUCCUUAGUAACCACAGUGUCUCAUCUGGUGUGAUCCUAGAGAAUACUCACGGAAAAGAGUCUAGCCUGCUGACUGUGAUUUUCUUCCAAAAUAAGGAUUUAGAUUAUAGAUCCAUUAAUUAAAAACAUCGUGAAGACCUGAGUGUGCAUCCGCAUUAGCGUUUCUGUUUAGAUCAGGAGCUCACUUUGGAAGUAAAUCAUCUUGCAUUGUGGAGCCAUCUUAGGAGUGCUUGAAUUAGCGUCCAUUUGGAGGAAGCUUACCUCGAAUAUGUGAUGUACUCUUCUAGUCACUAUUUGGGAAUCAAUUCCUAGGACCAGUCUGUGGAUAGCAUAACCCAAAAAUGUUACUACUACUAUUGGAACCCAACCAUGAAAUACAUUUACCAUGAAUGUCAGGUCCUCAGCAAAAAAAGGUCCCAGUACAUGUCUCCUGUUAAUCCACACUACUUGCUAACGCAGAUUCAGUCUUAGAAAACACAUAGAUGAUCCUCGGUUAAUUUGAAGGCUUCAUGGCUGAGCAAUUCCAAUAAACCACAAAAUAACAAUAGGAAAUUAAAUGUG
rnacentral:lncRNA from 1 species